rnacentral:rRNA from 1 species
GACGUAGGGUCCAAGCGUUGUCCGGAUUUACUGGGCGUAAAGGGCGCGUAGGCGGCUUAACAAGUCACUUGUGAAAUCUCCGGGCUUAACUCGGAACGGCCAAGUGAAACUGUCAAGCUAGAGUGCAGAAGGGGCAAUCGGAAUUCUUGGUGUAGCGGUGAAAUGCGUAGAUAUCAAGAGGAACACCUGAGGUGAAGACGGGUUGCUGGGCUGACACUGACGCUGAGGCGCGAAAGCCAGGGGAGCAAACGGG